rnacentral:rRNA from 1 species
CCUACGGGAGGCAGCAGUGGGGAAUAUUGCGCAAUGGGCGAAAGCCUGACGCAGCGACGCCGCGUGAGGGAUGAAGGUCCUCGGAUCGUAAACCUCUGUCAGCAGGGAAGCACGGUCACUGUGCUAAGCAGCAGUGAAUUGACGGUACCUGCAAAGGAAGCACCGGCUAACUCCGUGCCAGCAGCCGCGGUAAUACGGAGGGUGCGAGCGUUAAUCGGAAUUACUGGGCGUAAAGCGCUCGUAGGCGGUAUGUCAAGUCAAGGGUGAAAUCCCCGCGCUCAACGUGGGAACGGCCUUUGAAACUGGCAAACUGGAGUGUGUGAGAGGAUAGUGGAAUGCCAGGUGUAGGAGUGAAAUGCGUAGAUAUCUCGAGGAACAUCAGUGGCGAAGGCGACUAUCUGGCACAUAACUGACGCUGAGGAGCGAAAGCGUGGGUAGCAAACAGGAUUAGAUACCCUAGUAGUC